rnacentral:rRNA from 1 species
CCUACGGGGGCAGCAGUGGGGAAUAUUGGAAAAUGGGCGAAAGCCUGAUCCAGCCAUGCCGCGUGUGUGAAGAAGGCCUUCGGGUUGUAAAGCACUUUCAGUGGGGAAGAAAGCCUUGGGGCUAAUACCCUCGAGGAAGGACAUCACCCACAGAAGAAGCACCGGCUAACUCCGUGCCAGCAGCCGCGGUAAUACGGAGGGUGCGAGCGUUAAUCGGAAUUACUGGGCGUAAAGCGCGCGUAGGCGGUCUGAUAAGCCGGUUGUGAAAGCCCCGGGCUCAACCUGGGAACGGCAUCCGGAACUGUCAGGCUAGAGUGCAGGAGAGGAAGGUAGAAUUCCCGGUGUAGCGGUGAAAUGCGUAGAGAUCGGGAGGAAUACCAGUGGCGAAGGCGGCCUUCUGGACUGACACUGACGCUGAGGUGCGAAAGCGUGGGUAGCAAACAGGAUUAGAUACCCUGGUAGUC